UACGUAGGGGGCAAGCGUUAUCCGGAUUUACUGGGUGUAAAGGGAGCGUAGACGGCGAAGAAAGUCUGAAGUGAAAGCCCGCGGCUCAACCGCGGAACUGCUUUGGAAACUUUUUUGCUGGAGUACCGGAGAGGUAAGCGGAAUUCCUAGUGUAGCGGUGAAAUGCGUAGAUAUUAGGAGGAACACCAGUGGCGAAGGCGGCUUACUGGACGGUAACUGACGUUGAGGCUCGAAAGCGUGGGGAGCAAACAGG
rnacentral:rRNA from 1 species